UACGGGAGGCAGCAGUGGGGAAUAUUGGACAAUGGGGGCAACCCUGAUCCAGCCAUGCCGCGUGUGUGAAGAAGGCUUUCGGGUUGUAAAGCACUUUCAGUAGGGAGGAAAACCUUAUGGUUAAUACCCAUGAGGCUUGACGUUACCUACGGAAGAAGCACCGGCUAACUCCGUGCCAGCAGCCGCGGUAAU
rnacentral:rRNA from 1 species